rnacentral:sRNA from 1 species
CGGGUUUUACUCCUGGAUUUACCAUUGACCGCCCUUGCGAGCGGCAUGUUUUGGUGUCUGAUCCAGCCUGUACUGAAUCGGGAGCACCAUCUGCGUAGGCCUGGGGGAUCACUCCCGGGGUUUAAGGCUUGCGCCGCCUACGGUCUUGGAUAGCCCCCACAGUGCAGGGACCCCAAUAAGAAAGGCGCAUCGCGCGAGCGAUGCG